AUACCAAUUAAGUGUGGGAUUAAAAACAGCUUCCAGAACUUUCCAUCCUUUGUUCUCUUCUUUUAAACGAUGAAUUUCUUCUUCAUAGUCUGUAAUCAAUCCUUCUAACAGCUUAAAUAUUUCUUCAUCAGCAGCUGUCAGCAGUUGUUUCAGCCUGUCCCUCAGCUGUUGGGCUUUGGACAUGUUUGUAGAAAGCCUUUAAAAAGACACAAAAAGACGCAGCUGAAAUAAGAC